AAGACUAUAAGAGUCCUAUAACUUGUGAUAAGCGCAAGCAAGAUCAUCCUGAAGCACUUCACUCUGAGAAGAAGUCAGAGCAAAUAGAACAGACGGAGAAGCCAGCUACUAGUGAUGCUGAUAGACCUAUAUCACUGUUAAAUGUAGAUUCCAAAAUUCUUUCCAAAAUAUUAGCUAUGAGAUUGGAAAAUAUUUUACCGCAAAUUAUUUCUGAAGAUCAGACAGGUUUUAUUAAAAAUCGUUACUCAUACUUUAACGUUAGGAGAUUAAUGAAUAUUGUAUAUACUAUACAGCAUCAAAUAAAAUUCCAGAAUGUGUCAUUUCACUUGAUGCUGAGAAGGCGUUAGCCAGGUAAAAAUCCACGAGGCCCAUUGAUUUUAUGUAAAGAAACGGCUGUAAACAGAACAGUCAGUAUACCUUUUCACUUGACCUUUCAAUUACAGUAAGUGUAAAAAGCAAUGCCGAACUACUAUCUACUUCUUUGAUGACCCUUGGACUAUCCUUGAUCGCUUUGCUGGCUUUAUCUUGCACUAAACGUUAUUCCCUUAUCAUGUAUCUAUACACCGUAAAUGGAUUGAUUGUAAUUAUGCAUUGUCUUUCUGCUGGUCAGCACGCAACAAAAGCUUUUCACUGUACCUUGGUGCAUGUAACGAUAAACUGAACUGAACUUGUAUUUCUUUGCAUGUCAAUAUUUUGUUAUGUUAAUAAUUUUAACUUUUGCAAGCAUUUUUACAUUUUAAUUGUGCCUAAGUGUCCGUGAUAUUUGUAUGCCACAUUGAGCCUCUCCGAUCAACCAAGGCUCAGCUUCUCAUCAGCAGACUGUAUUCUGUCCUCUUUUGGAAUUUAUGCGCAAUAGAGCCAUCUAUUGGACUUAUAUUGUUAAAGGUCAGUUGCACAGGAAGUAGGAAGCAGGAAGUAGUCUCCUGUCUUUGUUUUUUUCUGUCAUGUUCAGCUGCAGAAGCAAUCCAUCCCAAUCCUAGCUUGCUACGCUUAAGAAAGCAACGACUAUACUACCAGGCCACGAAGGUAUUUCAAGCAUCUCAAGUUUCAGAGCCCCGACUGCAAAUUCAACCCGCCAUUCCCGAUUCCCAAUGAGGUUGAGAUUGGCCGACUCACCCUUUUCAGCGGCUCAUUCUCAGGGAGACUUCAGGGGAGAUUUGUCUGGAUUAAAUGGGGAGGGGCUGGAUCACCAGUGGCCGGAAAAUUGUGUUGAGCCUAUAAUUAUAUUUGAAUUCAUCUGUUUUGGUUUGAAAUGGCCUAGCUUUUUAGUAUCUCAACAAAGCUGAGACCACGCGCCAACUCUCGGACACCUCCUCCUACUUACCCCUGGACCAUGACCCCACUGACGAGCACCAGGCCACCAUCUCCAGCACAAUCACCGACUUCAUCAACUCCAAUGCCCUACCCGACCGAGCCUCCAACCUCAUCGUUCCCCAGCCCCGCACGGCCCGAUUUUACCUUCUCCCCAAAAUCCACAAACCUGACUGUCCCGGAAGACCCAUUGUCUCUGCCUGUUCGUGCCCCACCAAACUCAUUUCCAAAUACCUUGACUCCAUCCUAUCCCCCUUAGUUAAAUCCCUCCCUACCUAUGUUCAAGACACCUCAGAUACUCUCCGUCGUCUCCGCGCAUUCCAUUCUCUAGGCCCUCACCCCCUCAUCUUCACCAUGGACGUCCAGUCACUUUACACCUCCAUCCCCCACCAGGAUGGUCUCAAAGCCCUCCGGUUCUUCCUCGAUCAGAGAAGCAACCUAUACCCAGCCACUGACACUCUCCUCCGCCUAGUGGAGCUGGUCCUUACCCUCAAUACUUCACGUUCGACUCCUCCCAUUUCCCCCAAACACAAGGCGUAGCUAUGGGCACACGCAUGGGCCCCAGCUACGCCUGCCUAUUUGUCGGUUACAUCGAGCAAUCCUUGUUCAAUACAUACCAGGGCCCCAACCCCGACCUCUACCUCCUGCACCCGCACACAACUGACUGACUUCAUCCACUUCACCACUAACUUCCAUCCGGCACUCAAAUACACCUGGACCACCCACACAGUCACAGGGAGUACGCACAAACUCCAUACAGAUACCACCCGUAAUCAGGAUCGAACCUGGGUCUCUGGAGCUGUCAGGCAGCAACUCUACUACUGUGCUGGUAUUAAAGAAGCACACAAAUAUUGAGAGCAAUUAUUGACAAAAGUGCUGAUUAAUUUGAACUUCAGUAUGAUCUUACAAUAUUUAAAAAAAACCAGCACAAAAGAUUUUCUCUGUUUAUAAUUCUGUGUUUUGCACUUUUGUAUUUGGUUGGCUCAUGGCAAUUAGAUUAGUCAAUUGGCAAUGAAAAUAUAUCUAACCUUAUGAACAUGUUAAACUAUUUUUCAUAUUUUCAACUGCAUCCAUUAUAGUUAAGGCUCAAGCUCAUUCUGUUUAGAUUUUUGGUCAUUUUAACUUUCUAAAGUUAAAUUUAAUUAUUUCCCAGCUCUUUUUUCUUGGGAUUUCAUCUUUCAUCAAAUUUCACCUAAAGUAAUAAUUAUCCUGUCAUUUUUGUAUCAGCAAUGUCUUGUCUCGACUUUGCCAAUCCAGGUCAACGAAACAGUUCCAAAGAUAUGCAAUUUCUAUUUUCUAUGCCUAAUGUGAAUAGUAAGAUAUGGCGCCAAAACCUGGUGACUUGUAUAUUGUGUCGGUGGACUACUUCUACACUUUGUAUUUAGUCUAUGGUUUUGUUUAUGUAUAGUUAUGCUUUACUGAACUGUAUGCAAAAAAAUAAUAAUUUCACUGUACCUCUGUGAAAUUGACAAUAAAGAACCAUUGAAUAUUAAUGCAGGAAGAUUUUCUGGUGCAGCUGCAUGAUUAUUGCCCUUAGUUACACAAUAGUCUGGAACACAAGCAUUUCUUUCUGGCAUCUAACCUAAAAGAAACAAUAAACUAAUUUAAUAUAGUCACUUCAUGACGCUGGAAGACUGUACAAAGGAAAAUAUCAGAAAGAUCAGGAUAUACACCAUUUUUUGUUCAAGCACAUUACACAUGCCGUAUCUUACCCUGUAAACUAACUAUGUUUAAAAAAAUAUCAGGUCUGCAAACCUUCCUUUUCUUGACUCUAGCCUUUGAGUCUUCCCCUCCUUCAUCCAAGCAAUAACAUGCCUUAAUUCCAGCCUCUUUGCUCUGAAAUUCUAUCAUCAAAAUCCUUUGGUGCUAUCCACCUGUCGUUUUUAAAAUUCUGCUAAAAAACCUGCAUUAACAACAUCCAUUUGUUAGUCAGGUAUCUGUCCUUUUAUCCAUUUGGACUUCAUGGAUAGCUUUUGCUUUUGUUAUCUGUUAUCCUGACAAAUAGAUAUACACAAAAUGCUGGAGUAACUCAGCAUGACUGGCAGCAUCUCUGGAUAGAAGCAAUGGGUGAUGUUUCUGAUCAAGACCUAUUUCGGUCGAAACAUCACCUAUUCCUGCUAUCCAGACAUGCUGCCUGUCCCAUUGAGUUACUCCACCAUUCUGUGUCUAUCUAAAGUGCAAUGCACAAUUUACCCCAAUUACCCUACAAACAUGUAUGUCUUUGGAGUGCAGGAGGAAACCAGAGCACCUGGCGAAAACCCACAAAGUUCAUGGUGUGAACGUACAAACUCUGUACAGAUAGCAUCCAUGGUCAGUAUUAAACCUGGGUCUCUGGCACUGCAAAGCAGCAACUGUACCGCUGUGCCACCUUGCCACCCUAAUACGUGCAGCAGUUCAGAUAUCUCCUGACACAAGAUAUUAAAUUUCUAUUCCAACUUCCCUUAAAGUGCACAGGUGCAGAUAUUCCUUGUCCUUCACUUUUAAACUUAAAAAAAAAAACACAGAUUCAAUCCAAACAACCGAGCAAUGGGAAACUAUGUUAAUUAUCCACUUUAUUACUAUGUACUGUAAAUCUUUUAAUUUCCUGCCUGAAGGAGUCGUCAUCAAAGAUCCCCACUAUCUGGGCCAUGCCGUUUGAUGCUGCCAUUUGAAGGGAUUCAGAAGCCUGAAGACCACAACCAGAUUCAGUAACAACUGCUAUAACUAUCAGGUUCUUUAACCAACACACCCAACCCUAAUCUCCCCUUGACACCAAACACCAUUGGCCACCUCUUGCACUCACAUGGACUUGUUUUCAUUUCAAGUUGUGUUUUGCACCAAUCUCGUUUAUUUUGCGCACUUUUUUUCUCUUGUUAUGUUAUAGACUUGCAGAAUUUUAUAUGCAAUUUAUUUAUAUAUCAUUUAUAUUGUUAUGUUUUUAUCUAAGUUUAUGUGCCAGUGAUGCGACUG